CCUACGGGAGGCAGCAGUGAGGAAUAUUGGUCAAUGGACGAGAGUCUGAACCAGCCAAGUAGCGUGAAGGAUGACUGCCCUAUGGGUUGUAAACUUCUUUUAUAUGGGAAUAAAACGUUCCACGUGUGGGAUUUUGUAUGUACCAUAUGAAUAAGGAUCGGCUAACUCCGUGCCAGCAGCCGCGAUAAUACGGAGGAUCCGAGCGUUAUCCGGAUUUAUUGGGUUUAAAGGGAGCGUAGGUGGAUUGUUAAGUCAGUUGUGAAAGUUUGCGGCUCAACCGUAAAAUUGCAGUUGAAACUGGCAGUCUUGAGUACAGUAGAGGUGGGCGGAAUUCGUGGUGUAGCGGUGAAAUGCUUAGAUAUCACGAAGAACUCCGAUUGCGAAGGCAGUUCACUGGACUGCAACUGACACUGAGGCUCGAAAGUGUGGGUAUCAAACAGGAUUAGAUACCCCGGUAGUC
rnacentral:rRNA from 1 species